rnacentral:rRNA from 1 species
AGAGUUUGAUCCUGGCUCAGGACGAACGCUGGCGGCGUGCUUAACACAUGCAAGUCGAGCGGAGCAGUCUCAUGAAGUCCUUCGGGGCGGAUUGAGAAGGUGCUUAGCGGCGAACGGGUGAGUAACACGUGGGUAACCUACCUCAAACCCUGGGAUAACUCCGGGAAACCGGGGCUAAUACCGGAUGAGGUCACUUAGGCGCAUGUCUUUGUGACGAAAAGUCCGCUGGUUUGAGAUGGGCCCGCGGUCCAUUAGCUUGUUGGUAGGGUAACGGCCUACCAAGGCUGCGAUGGAUAGCCGACCUGAGAGGGUGACCGGCCACACUGGGACUGAGACACGGCCCAGACUCCUACGGGAGGCAGCAGUGGGGAAUAUUGCGCAAUGGGGGAAACCCUGACGCAGCAACGCCGCGUGAGUGACGAAGGCCUUCGGGUCGUAAAGCUCUGUCGACAGGGACGAAUAGAUGACGGUACCUGAGGAGGAAGCCCCGGCUAACUACGUGCCAGCAGCCGCGGUAAUACGUAGGGGGCGAGCGUUGUCCGGAAUUAUUGGGCGUAAAGGGCGUGUA